rnacentral:lncRNA from 1 species
GAAAUACUGCAGCUUUCUGGACUGCAUACCCUGCUCCCUGGAGAGGUUCCACCCACCGGCUGGAAGGAGAGGAAGUGAAUGAAAGGACAGGAGGAGCCCGAACACCAUGUCACUCUGGAAGGGAGACAGCAGCAACCAGGCUGUGCAAGUGAGUGGUGGAAGACGAAGGAUCUCUGAAGCCUCAUCAGUCAUCGGGACCAUCAGGAAUAGUGGUUUAAGAGGACGCUCGGCCUGGGGCACUAUACCUGUCAUCGAGUUCCCUGCCUCGGAGAUAAAGAUUCCAGCUACAUGGGUAAACGCCUGGAUCAGCCACAAAUGUACCCCCAGUACACUUACUACUAUCCUCACUGUCUCUAAACCAAGGUGAUAUUAAUUUUGUAUCGCAUUAGCCAGACUCCAC